AGACAGAGGGUGCGAACGUUGCUCGGAAUUACUGGGCGUAAAGCGCGUGUAGGCGGGCAGUCAAGUCAGGCGUGAAAUCCCUGGGCUCAACCCAGGAACUGCGUCUGAAACUGGCUGCCUCGAGUGUCGGAGAGGGAAGCGGAAUUCCUGGUGUAGAGGUGAAAUUCGUAGAUAUCAGGAGGAACACCGGUGGCGAAGGCGGCUUCCUGGACGAUUACUGACGCUGAGACGCGAAAGCGUGGGGAGCAAACAGGAUUAGAUACCCUGGUAGUCCACGCCGUAAACGAUGAGUGCUAGGUGUCUCGGGUAUUGACCCCUGAGGUGCCGUAGCUAACGCGUUAAGCACUCCGCCUGGGAACUACGGCCGCAAGGCUAAA
rnacentral:rRNA from 1 species